AAACUAUGUUGUGGGCAAGAGUUGACAAGAUCCUUGAACCGCUCCCAACAUUGGAAAUAUGUUUCAUCCUCCCUUUGGGCGAAGUUCAUGAUUGAUUUUCUAAGGGU